rnacentral:rRNA from 1 species
GGGUGAACGCUGGCGGCGUGCUUGACACAUGCAAGUCGAACGGUAUGUGGCAACACAUAGAGUGGCGAACGGGUGAGUAACACGUGGGAACGUACCAUCUGCAGGGGGAUAACUGACCGAAAGGACAGCUAAUACCGCAUAAGUCCGGAAGGAGAAAGGUGCAAUAGCAUCGGCAGAAGAGCGGCCCGCGGUCCAUCAGCUAGUUGGUGAGGUAAGGGCUUACCAAGGCGACGACGGAUAGCCGGCGUGAGAGCGUGGCCGGCCACAAGGACACUGAGAUACGGGUCCUACUCCUACGGGAGGCAGCAGUGCGGAAUUUUAGAUAAUGGAGGGAACUCUGAUCUAGCGACGCCGCGUGCAGGAAGAAGGUCUUCGGAUUGUAAACUGCUGUGGUAAGGGAAAAAUGCUAUGUAGAGUGGAAAGCUACAUAGAGGGAUGGUACCUUACUAGAAAGCCCCGGCUAACUACGUGCCAGCAGCCGCGGUAAUACGUAGGGGGCGAGCGUUACCCGGAAUCACUGGGCGUAAAGGGAGCGUAGGUGGCCUAACAUGUCAACUGUGAAAACCCGGAGCUCAACUCCGGACUUGCAGUUGAAACUGGUAGGCUUGAGGACGGUAGAGGAAGACGGAACUGCCAGUGUAGGGGUAAAAUCCUUAGAUAUUGGCAGGAACGCCGGUGACGAAGGUGGUUUUCUGGGCCGGUUCUGACACUGAUGCUCGAAAGCCAGGGGAGCGAACGGGAUUAGAUACCCCGGUAGUCCUGGCCCUAAACGAUGUUCACUAGGUGUGGGGAGCGGAAAGCCCUCCGUGCUAAAGCUAACGCGAUAAGUGAACCGCCUGGGGAGUACGCCCGCAAGGUUGAAACUCAAAGGAAUUGACGGGGGUCCGCACAAGCGGUGGAGCAUGUGGUUUAAUUCGAUGAUACGCGAGGAACCUUACCAGGGCUCGAACGCAGGAGGAAUACUCCCGAAAGGAAGUAGCCAGAAAUGGCCGCCUGCGAGGUGCUGCAUGGUUGUCGUCAGCUCGUGCCGUGAGGUGUCAGGUUAAGUCCUAUAACGAGCGCAACCCCUAUUCAUAGUUGCCAGCAUAUUACGGUGGGGACUCUAAAGGAACUGCCUACGCAAGUAGUGAGGAAGGCGGGGAUGACGUCAAAUCAGCACGGCCCUUACGUCCAGGGCUACACACGUGCUACAAUGGCCGAUACAGAGGGCAGCUACCUGGUGACAGGAUGCAAAUCUCCAAAGUCGGUCUCAGUUCGGAUCGGAGUCUGCAACCCGACUCCGUGAAGUUGGAUUCGCUAGUAAUCGCGCAUCAGCCAUGGCGCGGUGAAUACGUUCCCGGGCCU